GGGGAAAGUCUAUAGCUCAGGGUGGAGCAUCUGCUUUUCAUGCAGAAGGUUCCAGGUUCAAUCCCGAGCAGCUCCG